GGCACUUUCAUGUAGUUUAGUUUAGUUUUGUGAAAAAUCAAAUAAAACAUUUGAAUAACCAAAGAAGAGGACCUCUGCUGCUGGACUAGGGCGCUCCGACUUCCUCAACAAAUCAAACUGCCUUCUGGGAGAUGCAUCAACCAGUGAUGUGACAUUCUAGAAAAAAAGGAUCACAAUAGCCACAGUGGUAUCCUGAGGAAAAACCGACCGUGGGUUGACGCCAUGGAUGAUCAUAGACCGGUGAGUGAAGGCAGAGGAGGUAGUGUGGACGGCGGCUGAGAUGGAGGAUGGUAAGUUUUGAAACUCUGAACUGUACAACCACCAGUGUUACCAUGCAGUGAUCCACAGCUGAAAUCUGUGGUUUUUGUCUUAAAUUUGAAUCCACGCAGUGCGCCAGCUGGUUAGCAUUAGCACGCGGCUAAGCUAGUUAGCUUUGCACCCAGUUGGACAUCAUAUUCCAUGUAGCGUUGUCGUGUUACAUGAAGUGUGGUCUGUGUAACGUUUCUGCAGGAGGACAGGAGUCCCUCCUGGACCAGGAGUCCUCCUCUUGGCCCAGGGUGGAGGAGGGAGGAGCAGGAUGGAGCAUCCACUCCAUCUCCAGCCGGACUGUCCUGUGUUAUGAAGCCCCAGCAGCUCGGAGGAGGCUGGAGCACCAACCAGACCUGACGGAGCCCCUGAGAGAAAUCUAGGCUUCAGGUGAGCUGGGAGCUGCAGCGUGAUGAACGGCAUGUCCAUCAGGAGGAGCAGCAGGAGGAGCAGCGUCUGAACCUGCAGUUCCUUGAAGAUGAAG